rnacentral:rRNA from 1 species
AGCUCCAAUAGCGUAUAUUAAAGUUGUUGCAGUUAAAAAGCUCGUAGUUGGAUUUGUGGCAGUCGUCGGCGGCUUGGCACUAUGUGCUUUUGCUUGCCUACGUCGCCAUCCUUGGGCGGAUUCUGUGUGGCAUUAGGUUGUCGUGCAGGGGAUGCCCAUCGUUUACUGUGAAAAAAUUAGAGUGUUCAAAGCAGGCUUAUGCCGUUGAAUAUAUUAGCAUGGAAUAAUAAGAUAGGACCUUGGUACUAUUUUGUUGGUUUGCGCACCAAGGUAAUGAUUAAUAGGGACAGUUGGGGGUAUUCGUAUUCCAUUGUCAGAGGUGAAAUUCUUGGAUUUUUGGAAGACGAACUACUGCGAAAGCAUUUACCAAGGAUGUUUUCAUUAAUCAAGAACGAAAGUA